rnacentral:rRNA from 1 species
GGCAGCGAGUAGAUUGCUUGCAAUCUACGUCGGCGACCGGCGCACGGGUGCGUAACGCGUAUGCAACCUACCCAUUACAGGGGGAUAACACUGAGAAAUCGGUACUAAUACCCCAUAACAUCCAGGGAGGCAUCUUCUUGGGUUGAAAACUCCGGUGGUAAUGGAUGGGCAUGCGUUGUAUUAGUUAGUUGGUGGGGUAACGGCUCACCAAGACGACGAUACAUAGGGGGACUGAGAGGUUAACCCCCCACAUUGGUACUGAGACACGGACCAAACUCCUACGGGAGGCAGCAGUGAGGAAUAUUGGUCAAUGGACGCAAGUCUGAACCAGCCAUGCCGCGUGCAGGAAGACGGCUCUAUGAGUUGUAAACUGCUUUUGUACGAGGGUAAACGCAGAUACGUGUAUCUGUCUGAAAGUAUCGUACGAAUAAGGAUCGGCUAACUCCGUGCCAGCAGCCGCGGUAAUACGGAGGAUUCAAGCGUUAUCCGGAUUUAUUGGGUUUAAAGGGUGCGUAGGCGGUCGGAUAAGUUAGAGGUGAAAUCCCGGGGCUCAACUUCGGAAUUGCCUCUGAUACUGUUCGGCUAGAGAGUAGUUGCGGUAGGCGGAAUGUAUGGUGUAGCGGUGAAAUGCUUAGAGAUCAUACAGAACACCGAUUGCGAAGGCAGCUUACCAAGCUACUUCUGACGUUGAGGCACGAAAGCGUGGGGAGCAAACAGGAUUAGAUACCCUGGUAGUCCACGCAGUAAACGAUGAUAACUCGUUGUCGGCGAUACAAUGUCGGUGACUAAGCGAAAGCGAUAAGUUAUCCACCUGGGGAGUACGUUCGCAAGAAUGAAACUCAAA